AGGAGGUAAGGAAGUUGGAGUCAAAGAGGCAGUCUUGGUAGACUGGAUCAGAAGAGGACUCUCCUGACCAGCCUGGGAAAAGUCUGAGCAGAGUCUGCAGGGGCAAAUACAACUUACUCAGACAAAAAAGGCUGUCAGCAGCAAGUCUAGGCAGAAGCCAGGAGGAGUUAGGAACAGACUAUAAGAAAUGGUUGGUCUGGAGGAAAAAGGGUAAAACUUAUGAGAGCCAUUCACUGAUGUAUUGGUAAGAGGACAGGAGUCCUGGGGAAAGACUGCCUCAUUUACACUCCAAAGACUUGGGUUCUGAUCUCCAUGUCGUGGCUUAUCAUAGUGUAAGCCAGUUAUGUACCUCUAGAAAUGGAAGUUUCUGCUGUUUAUAAACUGGAAAUAAUGAUACAUGUCCUGACUCCUAUUGGGUUGUUGCAAAGGAAUCAAUUGAAAUAAGACAAGACUUUCUGAAUUUCUAUUUGCUGAUAAAUGACUCUGGGGCUGUGAAGACUCAGACCCAAGGAGUGACUCAGAAAGUCAGGGGCCCAUGUCAUUCUGCUCUGGGUUCAGACGUGCACUGCAGCAGCACCGGGACUUGACAGCCCUACGGCUCGAUCAGCUUUCUGUUUUCAUUGCCUUACGAUGCCAUGAGUGGAACUAUUGUCAAAUCAGAGUUCACUCCCCAGCUUUUCAGUCUUUCCCCUAAUUCUUGCUCUAUCAGAGGUCGAGGACAACAGUAUAAUGAUUCAUAGGUUCUACUUCCUGGCAAGUAAUCAUUUUCCCACGAGGGCCCUUGUGAAUUGAUGAAUAUGAAGACACUAAGAAAGCAGAAAUAGAACUGAGAAGAAUGAAAUAACUGUCUCUACCUUUCUCGAAUUGUCUAAUAUGGAAAGAAUGAAAGACAGCUAAUAAGCAACUCUCUGCAAGAAGACAUAUGGCUUAGGUUCUGCUGAGCUAUUGGUGAUUUGAUUCCAUGCAUAUGUAUUCACUACUGGUAUAAGUAUAUACAAUAUAUGUGUUUCUGCAAAGAAUCGUAGACUUGAUGCAUUUUUUAAUAUUUCUUAAGGACUUACUACUGAGUGUCACACAUGGCUACAUCUGUUAAUAAUUCGAAGGUUGUAGACAGUAUAAUAUUCCCUUGUCCUAAAAGAGGGAAGCUAGAAAUAUUGGUAAGCAGCACAUAUAUCUUCCCCAUGAUCCCCGAUCAUAGCUCACUAUAAACUUAAACUCCAGGGUUCAGCCGUGGAACACAGGUGAUCUUCUUGACUCAGCCUUUUGAGUAGCUGGGACUACAGGCCCACCACACUGUCUAAUUUUUUAUUUAUUUAUUUUUGUAGAGAUGGGAUCUUGCUAUGUGGCCCAGGCUGGCCUCAAACUCCUGGCCUCAAGAUAUUUCCCCCUGCCUUGGCCUCUCAAAGUGGUAUUGGGCCAGCUGCUGGGGAUUAAACUUUGAACAAAACAGAUAGAAUCUAUGUCCUCAUGGGAGUGGCUAAUGGGAGAGUCGGAACAAAAAAAUAGCCAAGGAUAAUCCAGCAAAUGAUUUGGUGAAUGCUAUCAAAGAGAGAAAUACACAUGCUCUGGGAACACCAAGUAGGUACCUAAUACCUAACCUGUACCUGGGGGGCUGGAA
rnacentral:lncRNA from 10 species